rnacentral:lncRNA from 1 species
CCUGUGCAAGAAGUCAACUCCGACGAAUAGUCGGAGUGUCUGCUCUAUCACUUUGUAUUCUUUUAUUUUCGUUUUGUCUUUGAUAUUUGUAAUCGGGCUUCGGUCCCAUUUUGUAAUCGGGCUUCGACCCAAUUUUGUAAGUCAUUUCAACUAAAUGGAAUCAAAGACUUUUCAAACUUUUCCCCACGUGCGGUUCAAAGUGUUUGAUUUGCCGAGCCAUCCCCGAGAGUAUAGGUCGUAGCUCCGACACACCUCAUUAGGAUAUUUGGUAGGAUCCAGUGUAGCCGAUCAAAGUAGUUAUUGGCGUGUGCCAUGCUAAGGGCAGUGCAAGCCUCGAUCGUAGGUCGGCGUCCUGACUGUCGUACAGGUUGUAUAGGAUCCGAUGGUCGAGAGUCAUCCCGAUCGUAGGUCGAGCGUGCACGUUGGGUCGGAUGUC